rnacentral:rRNA from 1 species
AUGGGGGGCUCACCACUCCAUCCCAACAAGCACCUCCUCAAACCCCUCUACCAGCUGCUUGUGAACAACUUCCUCGCCGUCGUCGUCGUGCCGGCGACAGCCGUCGGCGUUCUCCACAAGGCCGCGCAACUCGGCCCCGACGAGCUGCUCAUCCGGCUCCAUGGCUUGCGGCAGGUUCACGUCUUCCUGGCCGUCUUCCUCCCGUUCGCCUUGGCCACCCUCUGCCUCAUGCGCCGCCCUCGCAGCGUGUACCUCGUGGACUACGCUUGCUGCCGGCCGAAACCCAAUUGCCGCGUAUCCAUGGGCUCCUUCACCGAGAACGCUCGCAACAUGCCGUACCUCGACGAUGGCAGCUUCCGCUUCUUGACGCGCAUGCUCGAGCGCUCGGGCCUCGGCGACCAGACCUACCUCCACCCUUCCUUGCACAAUAUUCCCCCGCGCUGCAGCCUGAGCGACAGCCGCGACGAGGCGGAGCAGGUCAUCUUUGCAGCCAUCGACGACCUGCUCGCCAAGACGGGCAUAAGUCCCGGAGCGAUCGACAUCAUCGUCACCAACUGCACCGCCUUCAACCCGACGCCGAGCUUCACCGACAUGAUCAUAAACAAGUACAAGCUCCGAAGCGACAUCCGGGACGCCCACAUCUCCGGGAUGGGGUGCAGCGCGGGGGUGAUCUCCAUGGAGGUCGCGAGGAACCUCCUGCGGGCGGCGCCGCGUGGCGCGCACGCCCUGGUGGUGUCCACGGAGACCACCUCGCUCAUCAACUACACGGGGAAGAACCGCGCGAUGCUGCUGCCAGCCGUCCUGUUCCGCAUGGGCGCGGCCGCGGUGCUGCUAUCGACGUCCAAGUCUACGUCCCGGUUCCGGCUCACGCACGUCGUGCGGACGCUCACCGCCGCGCAGGACAGAGCUUACCGGUGCGCGUACCAGGAGGAGGACGACGAAGGACAGACGGGAAUAAACCUGUCCAAGGACCUCGUGGCUAUCGCCGGCGAGACGCUCAAGGCAAACAUCGUCGCAAUAGGGUCGCUGGUCCUCCCACCAUCGGAGAAGCUGCUCUUUGCGCUGUCGUUCGUUGCGCGGAAGGUGCUCAACAGAAAGACCAAGCAGUAUGUUCCAGAUUUCCGCACGGCCUUCCAGCACUUCUGCAUCCAUUCUGGUGGCCGUGCAGUGGUCGACGCGGUGCAAACUAGCUUAUGCUUAUCAGACGAGGACGUCGAGCCAUCACGGAUGACGCUUCACCGGUUCGGGAACACGUCCAGCAGCUCGUUGUGGUACGAGCUUGCAUACAUCGAGGCCAAGAGACGGACGCGCAAGGGCGACCGUGUGUGGAUGGUCGGGUUCGGCUCUGGGUUCAAGUGCAACAGCGCCGUGUGGGAGUGCAUCAGGUCGCCCAGCAACAGCCCUAUUGGCGCGCCAUGGGCUGAUUCCAUUCAUCAUUAUCCAGUAUUAGGGGUUGGGGCGUCACCUGGUGGAACCUCCUGA